CUUACCUAUUGUUGUUGCAGCACGUGGGUGUGGAGCUCUCUCUUUUCGAUGUUGAGGCCUUCAUUGCUGGUUUCCAGGUGUCCGUAGUGGACCAAGGUGUGGCAUGGACGCAGGAUCAUUGGAGGACCAUAAUGGGAGCAACAGGACUGGCGCAGUUUGUACAUUCAUUAUCGUACGUAGAUGGAAUUAUUCACCCUCUAGAUCUGAAGAGCAUCUCUCUAUGCAGGUAAACUGAUAUUCAUGACAAUCUAGAAUGUAUUGAAAGUCUGCGGCUUUUUUAAAUAAGUGCAUUAAUCAUAUCUAGUUGAUCUGGAAGCAUUUUUCAAUUGAUUUAAUGAACAGGUGCAGGAAGCUGUAUCCAACCUGUCCAUUAAGAUUUUUGUACUAGAAAACCACAUAUGGUAAUUUUGUAGUAAAAAAAAUACCUUACAUUGUGUAGUUAUAUAAUGUGCACGUAUACGGUAUUGUGUAUAUAUAAACAUUAACAGUAUCAUAACAGUAUCAUACUAAGUGAUGCUUGCCCAUUAGUAAUUUGUGAUUGGUUGGUAUUACAAAUCAACCAAUCACAGCGCAGUGAGGGAAAUUCAAGACAGCUGAGAAGUAUAUAAAGGCUCUACUGUUUGAAUUGUGGCCAGUGUGAUGCCUUCAGCUAACUGAAUAGUACAGUAAUAUAUUACGUAAAUGUAGAAUAGGAAAAAACAAAAAACUAAAUCACAUUAAACUAGAUUUACAAAAAGCUCAUUACUGUAAGAGUUUAAAAUGAAAGUCAAAAGAACAUUCAAAUCUGGAUCAGAAGGGAGAUGUACUCUACAUUCUCUCCCAUCAUGCAUUUGUACCAAAGAUGUAGAAUGUUGGCACAAAUAAGUUGAUCUUUCGGUAGGGUAAAACAACCAUAUUUUUUCAGCAGCCAUUACAGCUUGCUUGUCCUUCUCCACUUUAAAAUAUUUUAACAGGUGCCUGAUGAACCUCAGGUAAGACGUCAAACCGGUUUAAAAAGGAUUUGACUACUUACAAUACAAUUGACACCAUAACCACUACAGUGCACAGUAGUAGUUAAGGUUCUUGGAGUGUUCUAAUUCACAGAAAGGAAAACUCACAGUGUGACUUCAUUAGUCCUUGUUUCCAACGCCGUAUGUUCUAUCACCCCUGCUCUUUCUAAAACACACACUUAUUGUGUUAGCUGUCUGUUACUUAUCUUUAGUACAAGACCUGUCUGCCCUCUCUUUCUCUACGAUACAGUAUAUGUAUCAUUUUUUUCCACACACCUCCAAUAAUAAUGCCACAUUACUUUUUCCCUUCCUUUUACAGAAAAAAUAAAACAAUAUAUCAAAGAGUGGAG